ensembl:snRNA U6 U6 spliceosomal RNA
AUGCUUGCUUCGGUAGCACAUAUACUAAAGUUGGAACAAUAGAGAGAUAGGCAUGGCCUCUGUGCAAGAAUGACAUGCAAAUUUGUGAAGCAUUCCAUAUUUUU